rnacentral:rRNA from 1 species
CACAUGCAAGUCGAACGCGAAAGGGAACUUCGGUCCUGAGUAAAGUGGCGCACGGGUGAGUAACGCGUAGAUAACCUGUCUUCAUGUCUGGAAUAAUACGCCGAAAGGGGUACUAAUACCGGAUAUUCUUGCUUUUCAUAAGUUAUGCAAGCAAAGGUGGCCUCUGCAUAUGCUACUGCAUGAAGAGGGGUCUGCGUACCAUUAGCUAGUAGGUGGGGUAAUGGCCUACCUAGGCGACGAUGGUUAGCGGGUCUGAGAGGAUGAUCCGCCACACUGGCACUGGAACACGGGCCAGACUCCUACGGGAGGCAGCAGUGAGGAAUAUUGCGCAAUGGGGGAAACCCUGACGCAGCGACGCCGCGUGAGUGAAGGAAGGCCUUCGGGUCGUAAAGCUCUGUCAAGAGGAAAGAAGUGUACAAUGGCUAAUACCUGUUGUAUUUGACGGUACCUCUAAAGGAAGCACCGGCUAACUCCGUGCCAGCAGCGGC